rnacentral:rRNA from 1 species
CUGGCUCAGAACGAACGCUGGCGGCAGGCCUAACACAUGCAAGUCGAGCGAACCCUUCGGGGUUAGCGGCGGACGGGUGAGUAACGCGUGGGAACGUGCCCUUCUCUACGGAAUAGCCCUGGGAAACUGGGAGUAAUACCGUAUACGCCCCUUGGGGGAAAGAUUUAUCGGAGAAGGAUCGGCCCGCGUUGGAUUAGGUAGUUGGUGGGGUAAUGGCCUACCAAGCCUACGAUCCAUAGCUGGUUUGAGAGGAUGAUCAGCCACACUGGGACUGAGACACGGCCCAGACUCCUACGGGAGGCAGCAGUGGGGAAUCUUAGACAAUGGGGGCAACCCUGAUCUAGCCAUGCCGCGUGAGUGAUGAAGGCCUUAGGGUUGUAAAGCUCUUUCAGCUGGGAAGAUAAUGA